rnacentral:piRNA from 1 species
UUGAAUAUUCGUGGUGAAAGU